rnacentral:rRNA from 1 species
AGAGUUUGAUCCUGGCUCAGGAUGAACGCUAGCGACAGGCUUAACACAUGCAAGUCGAGGGGCAGCACAGGUAGCAAUACCGGGUGGCGACCGGCGCACGGGUGAGUAACGCGUAUGCAACUUACCUAUCAGAGGGGGAUAACCCGGCGAAAGUCGGACUAAUACCGCAUGAAGCAGGGGCCCCGCAUGGGGAUAUUUGCUAAAGAUUCAUCGCUGAUAGAUAGGCAUGCGUUCCAUUAGGCAGUUGGCGGGGUAACGGCCCACCAAACCGACGAUGGAUAGGGGUUCUGAGAGGAAGGUCCCCCACAUUGGUACUGAGACACGGACCAAACUCCUACGGGAGGCAGCAGUGAGGAAUAUUGGUCAAUGGGCGUAAGCCUGAACCAGCCAAGUCGCGUGAGGGAUGAAGGUUCUAUGGAUCGUAAACCUCUUUUAUAAGGGAAUAAAGUGCGGGACGUGUCCUGUUUUGUAUGUACCUUAUGAAUAAGGAUCGGCUAACUCCGUGCCAGCAGCCGCGGUAAUACGGAGGAUCCGAGCGUUAUCCGGAUUUAUUGGGUUUAAAGGGUGCGUAGGCGGCCUUUUAAGUCAGCGGUGAAAGUCUGUGGCUCAACCAUAGAAUUGCCGUUGAAACUGGGGGGCUUGAGUAUGUUUGAGGCAGGCGGAAUGCGUGGUGUAGCGGUGAAAUGCUUAGAUAUCACGCAGAACCCCGAUUGCGAAGGCAGCCUGCCAAGCCAUGACUGACGCUGAUGCACGAAAGCGUGGGGAUCAAACAGGAUUAGAUACCCUGGUAGUCCACGCAGU